rnacentral:sRNA from 1 species
AAUGGUGUUGCUAUAAGGUUUGACCCUUUGAUAACUCUUGGUGGAUUAAGUGUCCCUAAUCAAGACAUCCAUUUUAGAUUACAUUCAAAGGAUCUUGUUUGUGUAUUAUUUUGAAUACUGUGAGACCUGGCUAUUCCCGGACAGUGGCUGAAAUGGCUUUCCAAGUAUGGGGCCUUCAGACUGCACCCUAGAUCUAAGACCUAGGAGCCUGCCUCAGUCUGAGAAGUUUCUCAAAAAAAAAAAAAGGAGGGGGCAUUACUUCCCAAUUAACUCAAUUAACUUCUUCUGGUGUUUAAGAAGCUACCAGGAAAUUAACCAAAUAAGGUCUCCUGCCUACUGUCUAUGUCUGAGGAACUCCGGGCCCUGGAAGUGAUUUCUUAAAGAAUGUACUAACCAACCUCAGGACUGCAAUUAGGUUCUACCAAGGAGAGGAAUGACAUCAGAGAAGGAGCCAUCUGUUUCCUGCUGAGCCCCCAACAGAGACACUUUCCAAUCAAGAAUGUACUGCAGCGAAUUCAAGAAGUACCAGUGUGGAACAUUAUAAGUGCCUCUGGGAGCAUCAACAGAAUAUUCAACAGAAUUUUCAUUUGUGAAUAUGGCUCGCACCAACAAAGGUACAGGGUCUCUCACUGAACCCAGGACAAGGCAGCCAUCUUCCAUCGAUGGGAUGGAGUUAACAAGCAGGUGUGUGUGUGACCACACCGGGUUUUCCCACGGGUGCUGAUGACUUGAACUCAGGGCCUUCAACUUGUCUAAAAGUAUCCUCCCACUUCUCGUGAUCUGUGGGAAAGAAUACAAAGUGUGAACAGAUAAGGAAAAUACACAAAGAAAUACAAAGUAGCAAGCCCAGCUCAGAAAAGUCCCAUGCUGCCAAAUGGUCAGGAAGGUUUAAUUUUGUCCAAAAAAAAAAAAAGUCUGAAAAGCUGUAACAAAGCCCAAAAGCCAAGGUGCCACAUGUAGGCUGCAGAUGUGAACAGCGGCAGAAACCGUCCUUUCUCUGGGUUGAUGUAAAAAGACAACCCAAGAGUCUCACCGAGGCACACGCAAAACCAGCCAGGAAUGACGCUUUGAAGCCAUCCUUUAAAUGAACUGUCUCGGUGUCCUACAGUUCAUCAAAGGUUUCCUGUCUCUGAAAGCCAAAGAUAUUCCUAACACGGGAUCACUGAGUUCCCUGAGGAUGGCAAGGCACGGCAAGGAUCAGUGGCUUUAAAUCAUGCCCCAAACUUAUUAUUUGGGCCUUUUAAGAUCUCAGGAUCUCAGAAGAAUUCCUGAAGACUGAGGUUCCAGGCCAUAGCAAUUCCUGAGUGUGGCAUUACCACACAACAGACACUCCAGGAACUGUACUUGAGGGAGUGACUCUACUCUUGGAACCUAAUAAAUACUUGUUUGUGUGAUAGUCGGUCUUGAGUGCUAGCUUUACAGGAUUUAGAGUCACUAUGGAAACAAAGCCCUGUGAGGGUUUGGAAAUUCUGCUAAUUAAUGAUGGGAAGCCCCGCCUUCAACAUAGGCAGCAUCAUGGACUGAGGUGCUGGACUGCAUAAAAGGGGGAAAGUGAACCUAGCCAAGCCCCAACACUCACAGCUCUCUGCUUCCUGGCCACAGAUGUCCUAUGACCAAAUGCCUCGUGCUCCAGCCUCCGUGAUGUCUCUCUCAUGAUGGCCUAUACCAUUAAACUGUGAGCCGUCCCUCCCCUCUCCCAUUACAAUCUAUUCCCAGUAGUCCAGCAAGUAACUAUCACACCAGCUUCCAGCAACCAUUGAGCUAAUUUUAAACCACAGUGACAGUGAUAUUACAAAUCCCAGAGACACGGAGAGGUGUGGCCUCUUACCACAAGGGCUUGCAGUUUACGUGGGAGACGGAAAGACUCCUCCGAUGCUGUGUUGGCAUAAUUUUAAAUCAGUUGAGAAACAGAUUUUCAAAGAGUCUAGUUUUGUCAAAACGGGUAAGCAGUAGGGACAUGGAGUGGAAAUAAUAUAACAAAAUGCUCGCCGUAAUCACCGACGGGGGGAGGGCUUCAAAGGCGCCUUGAUUUUUCUCCCUUGUUCUUGUCAUCUCCAAGUGUGAAAUUUCAAACUACAGAUAAGUGGAGGAAGGAAAAUUAAAAACCACUUGUGUCCCGCGCACCCAGCAAUUUGAAGUUCCUUCUAAUUCUGUUCUUCUAAUUUGCCGCAGAUUAUUUUUAUUGGAUCCUAAACAAUAGAGAUGAUAUUACUGUAAAUAUCUCAAAGCAAGCAGUGUAGAGGAGGAACGGCUCAAUACAAAAGGCACAUAAUAGCCACAGAUAUGAAAUGCUAUAUAGCCCGUCUCACAGAGAGAACGGCCAAUUAACGGCAACUAUCAAGCGUGAUCCGACUCCAUUUGAAACCCACACAGUUUGUAGUGCUGUUUCCUAAGUGCUUUGUACAAUUCAUUUCGCCUGUUUAGUUCCCCGCUGUGCCUUCUUUCGCUUCAGCAUUUUGCCCCCAGUAUCUUCGUUAAUUUAUAAAUGUUUAUAACUGUGGCAGGAAAAUAAUAACCGUCACAGAGGAAUGGAUCACCAGUUUCAAGUGAUUGGUUUUAUAUCCCAGUCAGUACCAGGCACUGAAGGAUAGGGGGUCUUGAAGUUAGGCCCUGGUUCAUGCUCCCAGUCCCAUGCUCCCAGAAAUAAGACUCAGAUGCAAAAUAUAUUUACAAAUGCCUAGCCAUAUGGCUAGGUUCUACUCUGACUAGAUCUUAACUAAAAUAACCCAAUUAUUUUAACCUACAUUUUACCACAUGGCUGGUUACCUGUGCUGAGGUACCAUGCCUCUAGCUCCUCACAUUGUCCCAAGAUGGCUCUCCAGCCUCUGGCUCUAUCCCA